UUUAAUAUUACUAUUAACUAAACAGAAAGUGAAAGUACUUUCAAACAAAGCCAGUAGGGGCGCCGCAGAAUAUGGGAUAGUCCUGUAAUUUCUGUAGUACGAGGAAAUCGGCGGAUCGGUUCCCGGUUAGUGUAUCCCUGGGGCGAUGUGUGAGUGUGUGAUGUGUAGAACUAGGCCGGAGCAGACCAUGUAUAGACCAUUCACUCAGCAUGAGGGAAUGUACUGACGGCAUUAUGGACUUGGAUUAACGCCAAAAUGAAUUUCCUGAUAAGAAGUCUGUACUGGACAAUUUACACGACUAUAGUUUUGUGCUGUAAUCCCGGAGAAUAUGCAAUCAGUAAUGUAUGCUGUCCUAUGUGCCCACCAGGUCAAGUUGUGAGCGUUCAUUGCACAGUCAGUACAAGCAGCACUGUAUGCAUACCUUGUGUUGCAGGGACAUAUAUGGACCAUCCCAAUGGCCUCACUGAGUGUUUCAGAUGUAAAGAAUGUGAUACUGGUGCUGGACUACAGGUAAAGACAAAAUGCACAUAUACUUCAGAUACUGUAUGUGAAUGCAGCACUGGUUAUUUCUGUUUAGGAGAGGACUCUGAAUGUGAUUUAUGUCAACAACACACAAGAUGUGAACCUGGUCAAUUUGUUAAAGCACCAGGAACUAGGAGAACAAACACAGUAUGUGAGGACUGUCCGUCUGGUCAUUUCAGCAAUGAAAGCAUGUCAGUAACUUGUACCCAAUGGACAAAGUGCACCUUUUUGGGUCUUCAAAAACCAGGAACAACAAAAUCAGAUUCAACAUGUAAAAGAAGUGAUAUGCGGAUUUUAGUAGUAUUUUCCUGUAUCAUAAUAGCGUCACUAAUGUUAUUCACCCUGAUUAAGUGCAAGCAAGCUACCUUGACUCCAUGAGAGGCGUCUCCUUUGUACCCACACUUACCUGUCCUGGCUCCUGUGAUCCAUCCUUCCCUGCAGCAAGAUGGCCUCUCCACUUCGUUCCUGGCAGAAGGAGGUUGAUGCUGAGGGAUCCCUUCAUUCUCCUUUCCGGAACACUGAUUUGGAAUUUUCUUUGAUCCUUUCAACACAACCAAGUCAACUUUCUUAUCAAACGGAACAGAAGGUUGCAAAGUUUUAAACUUCUUAAAGGUUACAAUGUAAAAGAAUAUUCAAGGGUGUUUUCAUGAGUUUA